UAGAGAGAGAGAAAAAAACAAAACAUAGCGGACCGGACCGGCCCACAUUGGGUCAACGGCCCACCGGGACGAUGCCCGGUAUGCCAGAUGGCCAGUCCACACCGUGAGACCCUCACCCUCCGUCUGUGUGGAAACCAGCAGCGGGAAGCAGACUUUUCUAAACGUUCCAGGCCGAGAUAUCUACGGUCGUUCGGUCAGCCACUCGUCUCCGAGCCCCGAGGCGUGGAGCACUUUGGGGACCGCAGCAUCUUCGGGUCGUUUCAGUCUAAACUCCAAUAGCAUGGACGCUGACUACCACCUUGAGGACGCCGUGCCCGCGGCCCCGACCCCGACCCUUCUCCAUACUUUAGCAUGAGGACCCUGUCACGGUGACAGGGUCCUAAUGCUAGGGGUUGGAGAGGGGUCGGGGUGAGACGAGAGUGUCAUCCCGAUCCCUAUCCGGCCUCUCAUGAGGACCCUGUCACCCCGACCCUUCUGUACCAUGAGGACACCGCCCCCCCCCCCCCGACCCCUCUCCGGCCUGCAGCAAGAGGGGACAGCCGAGAACUCCAAUCCUACUAUUAUUUAAUUGUUGAUUGCUUCUUGCUGUCAAUAUUGUUUUAACGGGGUUUUUUUCCCUUUCUUUUAUUAGACCAAAGAUAAUUUCCUUUGUUGGACGAUGUGUGUUCGUAAAAAAGUUGUGAAGAUGUCAAUGUUCAGGGUGAUCUAAUCGCUAAAAAAUCAGCAGAAUCCAUCGUUGGAAUUAUUUUACAAUAAAUUAAAGUGCUUUGUA